GGAUCGCGAUCGGCUACGAGGCAUAAGACAGUUAUGACUGAGGAGCUUGGUCGAGAGCCCACUUUGGCUGAGUUGCAUGUACGGUUGCACCUGACCAAAGCAGAUCGGACUGUCUUUGUUGACAAGAGAUCAAAGGAUAAAAAUGACCGUUUUCAGGCAGAGCUUGCUGCAGCAACACAGUCUCAGGCAGCUGGAGAAGGGAGUUCGUCGAC